rnacentral:lncRNA from 1 species
CCUUCGAGAUGCUCCCGACUCACAGUUCAGAUAAGAGAUGGAGGCCUCAUGAGAGGAGAGGACUUGCCCUGGCUGCCCGUUUAGCCAGUGCAAAGCAGGACUAGAAGCCAGCCAUGUCCCUUUAGGUGUCUGGUGGAUUUUAGCAGGCUGUGGCCAAAGCUGUUCCCUUAGCACCUGCUUCCUGCCCAGUUCAGCCAAUCAGGUCAGUCUCCUGAAUCCUUGUCUCAGUCCAGGCAGCCCCAGCCCCUCCCAUCCAUAAAUCCCACAGGUCCAUCCACCUCAUGAUUGCCUCAUUGCCUGUGACCUGGGCCUAGUCUCCAACACUUCAACCCUGACCUUUCCUUUGUUCUUUCCAAAACAUCCUUUGAGGCUACAGUACCUAGAGUGGUUCACGCUUUCCUCUUUUUUUUCUUCCCUAGUGAGUGAGAAAAUGAGUGAAGUGUUGGCACUUGUCCAAACAGGGGUUCCAAAGGAGAGUGGAUCCCUAGGACCCAGUUAGAGAUUGGAGAUGGGAGGUAGCCCGCGGAGUAGGGCGUGGGGAUGAACCUCACAGCAGCCCCUCCUCCACCAGCAAAUCCAGAUUUCCUCCAGGGCCCUUCCUAAAACCCACAGGUCAGGGAGUACAGGAGCCCACGAGCAUUCUCACUGAACAGACUUCUCCUCAGAAAAGGCUCCACCCCAUGGUCUGAGGGAAAAAAGGCUGCUUCACCCUCUGUUCUUGCCUUUACUCUUUUAAGGGAUUCCUGGGCCCUGCCUCCAUCUUCCUGAGGUUUCCCUGGGAGGCCCAGCCUCCAGCUCCCCUUGGGGACUGAGGUCGGCAGAGGAGCCAGUUGACAGGAUGGGAGCUGCUAAAAGGAAUUUUUUUCCUUAAUUUUAUGAACCUCUCCCUCUUCUUCCUCUAAUUGUGACUGUUUCCUCUGGCUGCGUGUAUUCAUGUUUUCUUGGACAUCUAACAAUUGAAACAGCUUUUCCCUUUCAGAAACACUCACAUUCAGGUUAUUGGCAUUGGUUUGGGUUUUGUUUUGGCUUUUUUUUUUUUUUUCAUCUGCUGCCAAUUAAUGAGGGGGAAAAUGAGCUGGAUUUCUUAGUGGGGAAAAAAAAAAAAAGCUCCCUGCCACACAAUAUCCCGCCUCAGCAUUUUGUCUCAGAGCACAGCCUCCAACCCCUAACAGGCUGCAUUGCUCAGAGCCACAGGACUGCUGGGGCUUUUUUCCCCCUUUUCUUUCCCUCCAUUGCUGGCUUCAUUAUUGACCAUAAUGCCCCAACCACUUCAGCAGUAAUGUCCUUGAGCCCCGAGGAGUCAAGGC